rnacentral:lncRNA from 1 species
UUCUAAGGUUCUAGUAUCUGAACAUGUGCUAUUAAUCACAAUUAAGUGUGUUAAGUUGGUUUAUGGUGAACCAUAAAAAUAACCAAAUUUGUCCAACAUGUUCUUGACUGUAACUACCCUGGAAAUUUUGUCAUUUACUGACAAUUUUUGUCUUGUUUCAAUCUUCUUCUUCUUAAAAAAAAAUAGAUUAUAAUCAGCUGUAGAACUUUAACAGGGAUUCUUUCAAAUGCUGGUUUCUAAUAACAGAAAAACUUACAGGACACAUGAAAAGUAGAAACUGAACUAGUAGAAAACUAAAGCAAUAUUCUUGACUUAUGCUUGGAACAUUGCUGAUUCUUAUUUUGUUUUUCAGAGUCAAGGACACUUGUCUUGAGCUAGCUACACCCUUUCACAACUCAGUAAGGAGUGAAGACUGAUUUUGC